rnacentral:rRNA from 1 species
UUUACCUGGUUUGAUCCUGCCAGUAGUCAUAUGCUUGUCUCAAAGAUUAAGCCAUGCAUGUGUAAGUACGUACCUUCAUUAGAGUGAAACCGCGAACGGCUCAUUAAAUCAGUCAUAAUCCAUUGGGUGUCGAUUAUCCGUUUACUCGGAUAACCGUGGCAAUUCUAGAGCUAAUACGUGCGAUUAAGCCCCGACGCCUCUCUCCCCCUCCUUCGGGAGGGGAGAAAGCGUGGAAGGGCGCAGUUAUUAGAACCAUAAACCGAGACGGGCUCUCGGGUCCGAGCUAUACUCCGGUAUAUGGUGACUCUGGAUAACCUUGCCAAGCGCUAAGGCCUUUCUUUAGAGCCGGCGCUGCGCCCUUCGAGCGACUGCCCUAUCAGCUUUCGAUUGUAGGAUAUUCGCCUACGAUGGCUGUAACGGGUAACGGGGAAUCAGGGUUCGAUUCCGGAGAGGGAGCCUGAGAAACGGCUACCACAUCUAAGGAAGGCAGCAGGCACGCAAAUUACCCAAUCCCGGCUCGGGGAGGUAGUGACGAAAAAUACCGAUGCGGGACUCAUCCGAGGCCUCGCAAUCGGAAUGAGCUCACUUUAAAAAAGUGGGCGAGGAUCGAUUGGAGGGCAAGUCUGGUGCCAGCAGCCGCGGUAAUUCCAGCUCCAAUAGCGUAUAUUAAAGUUGCUGCGGUUAAAAAGCUCGUAGUUGGAAUUUCGGUUCGUACCGGUUGGCCCAUCCAAGGCGCGGCCCGCCUUCUUCGAGAUGCCCCGACUACGGUCGCCGCGUCCGUUCCUUUCCUUUUUUUAAAACCCCCCUUUCUACGCGGCGGUUCCUCAGCGAGAUCCCCCCUCUUUUCAAUCGGCUCCGUUCCUUCGGCCUUCGCGGCGACUCGCGCGGCGCGCGCGCUUCAGUCCGUUAUCUCGAUAACGGCUGCUGCUGCUGCGGCGUCGGUUGCGGCUCGCGUUCGCGGUCGGUCGAUCGGCGGGCUCAGUCGGGGAAAGAGGGUCGCCGGGGGCCCCGCGUACCUACGGGGAAAAGGAACGGGGAGGUGACGCGGCGGUUAGGGGUCGCGCUCGUCGGCGGACGCGUCGGGUGGUUAAACCUUAACCGGUUACGAAUUUGAAAUUAAAUCUAAAAACUUAUCGUCGGCUCUCACGGGGUGCCCUUCACCGAGUGCCCCGCGUGGCCGACGACGAUCGCUUUGAACAAAUUAGAGUGCUCAAAGCAGGCUAAAAAAUUGUUACGCCCGAAUAACAAUGCAUUGAACGAUGGAACAGGACCUCGGUUCUGCGCUCGAAUUUUUUUUUCUCGGUUUUUACCCGAAUCCGAGGUAAUGAUUAAAGGGAACGGUCGGGGGCAUUAGUAUUGCGACGCGAGAGGUGAAAUUCUGUGACCGUCGCACGACUACCUACUGCGAAAGCAUUUGCCAAGAACGUUUCCAUUAAUCAAGAACGAAAGUUAGAGGAUCGAAGGCGAUCAGAUACCGCCCUAGUUCUAACCGUAAACGAUGCCAACUAGCGAUCCGCGUACCAGUCAUUCCCAAGACUGCGCGGGAAGCUCCCGGGAAACCAAAGUCUUUGGGUUCCGGGGGUAGUAUGGUUGCAAAGCUGAAACUUAAAGGAAUUGACGGAAGGGCACCACCAGGAGUGGAGCCUGCGGCUUAAUUUGACUCAACACGGGAAAACUUACCAGGCCCGGACACCGGGAGGAUUGACAGAAUGAGAGCUCUUUCUCGAUUCGGUGCAUGGUGGUGCAUGGCCGUUCUUAGUUGGUGGAGCGAUUUGUCUGGUUAAUUCCGAUAACGAACGAGACUCUGGCCUACUAACUAGUCGACGGAUCUCCAGCAAUUGGUGUCCAGUUCGCAGCUUCUUCUUAGAGGGAUAAGCGGCAAUUCUAGCCGCACGAGAUUGAGCAAUAACAGGUCUGUGAUGCCCUUAGAUGUUCUGGGCCGCACGCGCGCUACACUGAAGGGAUCAACGUGUCCUCCCCCUCCGAGAGGAGCGGGUAACCCGUUGAAAUCCUUUCAUGAUAGGGAUUGGGGUUUGCAAUUGUCUCCCAUGAACGAGGAAUUCCCAGUAAGCGCAAGUCAUGAGCUUGCGUUGAUUACGUCCCUGCCCUUUGUACACACCGCCCGUCGCUACUACCGAUUGAAUGAUUUAGUGAGGCCUUCGGACUGGCGCCCUUGGAUGCCGGGCCCAUGCGGUUCCGCCGCUGGGCUCUCGGCGCCUCGAGCUGACGGAAAGAUGUCCAAACUUGAUCAUUUAGAGGAAGUAAAAGUCGUAACAAGGUUUCCGUAGGUGAACCUGCGGAAGGAUCA